GCCACCAGGAAUUACAGCUAGGGCAUGAGGACCUCAUACGUUGCUCCUAAUCCAUUCCAUAACUUAUUGACAUAUGCAGCCGAUUACCGGGCUCUGCAGAGAGAGCGCCACGGAGCCGCCCAGACAACGGGUUUCUCUGGUGCUGGAAGCGAAUCUGUUUAGGAUUAGAGAAAUAACAGUGUGGCUGACACUGAAAUGUCCAACAUCCCUCUGUGCCAAGGAGGGAGGAAAACCCCCAAACGACCGUGUGCCAGAAUCUGUUGACAUUCUGCUCUGUUUUGGCUGAGUUGCAAGUCAUCUCUUCUUCGUUUCUUGAGGAUAAAGUUAAGGUGGCUCUGUCCUGCGUUCCUCCACCACCCCAGGCCAUGGCCUCUAAAGCACUCCUCUGGGACCCCACCAGAGACCAGAGAGCCAGAGAACCAGAGAACCAGAGACCCAGAGGACCAGAGACCAGAGAACCAGGCAUGCAUGGUGCUGCUCUUUUCAUGAAAAGUUAACCUCCACCUCCCCACCACCAUCACCAGCUAAGGCCCAUCACUGGAACUCCUUUCUCCCAGCGCGGGGGGAUUCGAUGCCAGCUGCCCCUCAGAGGACUACCUGCCAUAACAGCAUCUGGCUCCGAGCUCAGAGAUGAGGCCAUUCCCCAAACUAUUUCAUACUGCAUUUUGCCUCUGUUGUUCAUUCAGUUAAUGAACGACAAAACCUUAAACUCGAUUGAACAUAUUUUCUCCAGAUCAUGUUUAGUCCAGUUAACCCACCUCUAUAAAGAGGAAUAUUAGGCUGUAUAUUAAUGUAUUGUCACCUCCAUCCAUUUAGUUGUGGCUUAUGUCUUUUAGGAAAAUGUAUAUUUAGCAUUUUACUGUAACAUUGGGAUAUGGACAAAUAAGACUAUUUCUCCUAGAAUGUGCGUGAAAACAAUAAAUGCAUUUUGCAAUCAAAGCUAUGGUAACUUUAAUUCAGUUUUCAAAACAUUGGCCAUGAGUAAACCCCUUGUUCAAAAUGCAGUUUCAGGUAGGUGUUUUAGGGGGCGGUGUAGACAAUAGUUAGGAAAUAUAAUCUGACAACUCCUGCAUUGUGGUUUUUAUGAGAACCAUGGCAGCCCAGUGAAUGAGUUAGGCUGUCAGUCACAGUGCACAUGACCAGGUGUGAUUUUUUUUCCUUUGCUUUUUUCCGCCUCAGGUCACUCUGUGCUCUUAAAUUACAUGCUCCUUUUGUUAUAGGCAUAAAUGCAUUGUGUGUGCCACUUCCUCAAUGGUUCCCACUUUAGUCGGUGCAAGUUCUCUUGUUUAAGCAAAUGUAGGUCAAUUUGCUCAAAUUUGAUUGUGAAUUGUGUUUUCUGCUAUGUGCAUCUCCUGUUCUGUCUGUUGCAUAAAGGACUUCAAUUUCCCUUAAUUUUGUUGAAAUAUUUUUCAUUUUCGAUGUUUUUCAAAUGUAAACCUUUCCCAACCACAGGAAUAUUCCUUAUUUUACUUUUUAGAAACGCAUUGUAGGCUCCUUUUUUUCUGAAAAUGUACAGAAAUGCGAUUCUCAUAGUAAUUUUGCAUAACGGUCUGUUAGCCGUUAUCCUCUCUACUGAAUAGUGUAAUAUGUUUAUGUUCCGUACUGUGUGCCACAUAUAUCAUUAGGUCUGAGGUUUUUUACAUUACAUCCGUUCACUUAUCCCUUCCAGUGGUUACAGCGUGAUGUAGUUUACUUUACCCACAACAGCGUGGUGCAGGCUGGAUUUUACCCACCAGCCGACAUGCAUGCACAAGCAACUCAGUCAUAUCAAAAUUUAGCUAAAUUAUGAAUAUGAUGAAAAACUGAUUAUGAUAACUUUCUAGUGAGAAUUUAAAGGUUUUAAAUGUUUUUGUCGUUGUUGUUUUUUACCUGCCCAGCAACUGUGAAUUGGGCCUAAUUGUUAAAAAAAAAAAACUACAGUACACUGAUGUGAAAACUGAAAUGUUGAUUUAUUUAUGUGCACUAUCCCAGUCCCCAUCAACUAAAUUGCAUAAAUACGUUUCAUAGUUUUCCAUAUCCCUCUUCCAAACGUUUGUCACCCAUUCGUUUGUUUUGUAUUUAUUAAAAAUGUAAUUACUUCUAUUUUCUGAGAUGAGGACAGCAGACCUUACUUUAUCAAACCCCAAAGUGUGCACUGAUCUAUCUAUCUCGUGAAUUACCAGCUCAUGACCCCAAUUUAGCAUCCCAUGAUUUGUCAUAGAAGUAUUGUCUCUCGUACCAUGAGCCAUGCUGCACAGUGUAUUAACUAUUAAUACACUCCAGUGAUUGUAAUUUACAUCGCAGUAUGGAGUAGAGAUGGCAUUGCAGACAACUUUAUAAGAAUGCUCUGUUGGAGUUAUAGCCACCUGCCUGUUCAGACUCAAAUAUGCACAAUAACUCCUCUUCAGUAGAAGGCCCCGCAGCGGGAUCUCCGAGAUGAAUAUGUAGAUUUUUUUUGUUUUAUAGUUGAAAAUCAAAGGUGCAGUAUCGUAGUCUGCGCGGAUUAAAAUGUUCUUCAAAUAUGAUCAGUUGCAGUACCAUAUUAGCCUAAAUUCAAACCAGGAAAACGUUUACACGGGCAGCCUACAUGCAAAUAGGCCUGUUAUUGUCACAUGAUUUCUGCUUUGUCACCUGUGUCCGUGUGUGUGCGUGUGAAUGUGUGUGCGUGUGUGCGUGCGUGUGCGUUUGCGUGCGGGGUCUAACAACUAUCAUAUGUAAUAAUGUCAUAAUACAGUGUAAUUAUUCUGAUGUAAUCUUAUGUAUGAAAUAAUUAGCCUAUAUUAAUAAUAGAAAAUAAUGUAUUCGAUAGCGAUUCUAUGUGAAUAUAUGUGAAAUUGUGGAUAUGUAUAUAUUGUUUUGGGCUGUAGACUACAACAGUGAUAAACCUAUUGAGGCAUUAAAAAUGAAUGUAGCCGUGACUUUUAGGGCACCAUUGACAUUUCUAGGAUUUUCGCACACAUGGGAUUUUCCCCCCCAAAAAUAUGUCAUUUGGCCUCUGCACGCCUAAACAACAGUGGCCUCUAUGUGCGAGAUGACAUGCUAACCCAUCAUUCAACUCCACUGCAUGUUUCAUCUGACAAAUUGUGCCAAUGCAGACCAAAGCCAGAAGCUGCAGUUUUGAGAUGUUGCUCAUCAUUCAUUCAGCUGAGUUAUAUUAUGAUGUAUCUAUUUAAAAAGUUAGUGUCUACAGGCCUAUAUUUUGCAUUUAUUGUUGACAUUUUUAAGUUGCACAUACUAGGCUAUGCAGGCUUACUAUUCUUCAAGAAUGGCAAAGAAACGUAUAUUUACAGUAUGGAUAUAGAGGAUAAAAGACAUAUAACACCAAUUAUAUUUCAGGAGGUUUGAAAAUAAUUUAUCUAAUGCCUUUGAAGUAUAUUAGAAGGAUAUGUGAUUUGCAAGUGUUAAACCGAAGGCCUUACCGCUGUGGCUGCAAACGAAAAAAUUACGAAAUGAAAAAAUGGCUCACGGCAAGAAAAGGAAACUUUGUUUGUCCCCCUUUGUUUACCAGGAGGACUUCUUCCUCCCAUUUUACUAAUUCAUUUUAAUGGCUUUCAAACUGGAAAAUGGAAAUGUUGCUCUUGCCCUCUAUUUCGACAGCAGCGUCCUGGCAACAUAACACUUUUCUAUCAUCAGGGAUAAACGGCAUCGAACAGUACAUUCUGAUAAAAAAAAACGUGAUUGCUGGCCUUCCUGUCUGUCAUCUCUCGGGGAAAUCCUCUCCUUCAAAUCCGAGCUGUGUGCUGUCAGACCUAAUAAUGCCGCGCAUUAAGUCGAGAGAGAGAAAACGCACCAAGAGGGAAGCCACAGUGUUCUUAUUUGUCCCCGUCGAAGAUAAAAGGUGUUCGGCUCAGCCAGCAGCUUAAUUACGAUUAAUUGCUGCGUAGACAUCUUGGUGGAAUAAAUCGUCCAAUUUGAAAAUUAGUGAUAGGCCUGACUCAUUAUGCUAUUCCUGCAAAAAACACUAUGCAAAUACCGUUAGGCCAUAUUGUGAGAUGGGUUUGUAUUUGCAUAACCAAUAUGACCAUCACAAUAAGUAAAUGUUUAUCCUCAGUAUAGGCUAUGUUUUUACUGUUAGAUAGACAUUCACUUGAUAUAAACCAUCAGGGAGAAAGUCAACCUCAUGAUACAUUAAUUAGAUAAAAAUGCUUGUUUGUUAGGUGUUGGGUUGGCACCUAACAAAUGGUGUUCAUGUAGUGACCACUUUCUCAUAUUGACCAUGAAUAACCUCAACAAAACAAUGUAUUAUGAGUGUUUCGGUCAUUCACAAUUUGGAGAAAAUUAUCAGAAAAUCGCUUUAAUGGUGUUUCUUAGUUGUUCGUUCGUUUCCAAAGAUCGGUCUUAGCUUCGGGCUGUUUCAGUCAACGGAGUAAUCAUUAAAAAAGUAAACGUCGAGGGUUUCCAGAGAUGGCGAGAAGAAGAAACAGACGAGCUUAAUUUAAAAAAUGUGGUUUGUGUGUGUGAGUCACCUUUAAGUGCAGUAGUUUGGACUGUGUUGAAUAAAAUCAAUUUGACUAUAGAGGGUAAUGGUGCAGCUCCUUGUUAAUGUUUAAUAAUUGAGGCCAAAACUAGUUUUUUUUCGACCACACUAAUUGCCAGUCAGUCCCUAGUUGUAGCCUACACCUUGAACUACCUAUCCUGCUGUUAUGCUCUUAUAGAAAUCUGAGUCUUCCUUCUAUUAUAUGAUUUUGAUGAUUGAGAAAGAUCCCUUGGCUUCAAUUGAAAUUAGUCAGAUCAGUGAGUGUAACACAGGGAUGGGCAACUUUGAUGGGGUUGGAGGACACAAAAAUAUCUGAACUCAUGAGGGGCCGCAGUUGCCCAAAAUAUUUAAGUUGUAGAGUUAAUUUCAUGCAUAUCUACACAUUUUGCCAUUAAGUGUAGAAAAAUGUUGCUGUUUUAACGCUAGUUUGCGGCAAUUCUACACAUUUUUCCAUGGAGCGGAGAGAAUAUAUAGCAAUUGUAUAAUUAAUUUCAUGCACAUUUUUUACUUUUAGAGUUCAUUUCGUGCAAUUAUACUCAUUUCGCCAUGGGUGGAGAGGAACAUGUAUAGCUUUUUUGGCUGGGGGGUUAAUCCGAGGGCCUUCACCACCAUCUGCCCAUCCCUGGUGUAGCCUAUUCAUUUUAACAUGUAAAUAAACAGCAAUGUUUUGUUAUUGUGAUGCCUGGAUGAUUUACGUUCCAAGCUUUUACGUUCCAAGCUUUUACCAGAGUCGUUGUGCGUAAAAGUGCGUAGGUUUUGGUGAAGGGUUAGCCUAGCUCUGCCCAGUAGCAAAUAAGGAAUGCCGACUGGUGAUGUUUGGGGGACUGCGGAUGCUCAUUGCUCCCCUUCUGAUUGAUAUUACAGUUGUUAGACAGCUGUGUUUCGGUGACCCAAUUUAGACAGCUGCGUGUGGUAUCUAUCUGCGUUCGCUUUCCCCUCGCCACUUCCCUCUCACAAAGUAGCGGUGGAAAUCCAUCGACGCCUGUAAGUCUGUGAAGAGCCUAUGGGUUUGAGUUCUGGAGAAGAGAGACACCUUUAAAUGCUUCUGCUGGACUAGACUGGCAAGUCCACACGUCCCAAACGUUUAUGAAAACAGAGCUCUACAAUCAAGGAGGUGACUCUGCAGAGAUAUGAAUGUGUUUUCUGCGGGCUACAUGUUA